UACAGAGGUCCCGAGCGUUGUUCGGAUUCACUGGGCGUAAAGGGUGCGUAGGCGGCGCGGUAAGUCGGGUGUGAAAUCUCGGAGCUUAACUCCGAAACUGCAUUCGAUACUGCCGUGCUUGAGGACUGGAGAGGAGACUGGAAUUUACGGUGUAGCGGUGAAAUGCGUAGAUAUCGUAAGGAAGACCAGUGGCGAAGGCGAGUUUCUGGACGGUAACUGACGCUGAGGCACGAAGGCCAGGGGAGCAAACGGG
rnacentral:rRNA from 1 species